rnacentral:rRNA from 1 species
GAUGAACGCUAGCGGCAGGCUUAAUACAUGCAAGUCGAGGGACAGCACAGGUAGCAAUACUGGGUGGUAACCGGCAAACGGGUGCGGAACACGUACACAACCUUCCUUUAAGUGGGGGAUAGCCCAGAGAAAUUUGGAUUAAUACCCCGUAAUAUAGUUGAAUGGCAUCAUUUGAUUAUUAUAGCUACGGCGCUUAAUGAUGGGUGUGCGGCUGAUUAGAUAGUUGGCGGGGUAACGGCCCACCAAGUCUACGAUCAGUAGCUGAUGUGAGAGCAUGAUCAGCCACACGGGCACUGAGACACGGGCCCGACUCCUACGGGAGGCAGCAGUAAGGAAUAAUGGUCAAUGGACGCAAGUCUGAACCAGCCAUGCCACGUGAAGGAUUAAGGUCCUCUGGAUUGUAAACUUCUUUUAUUUGGGACGAAAAAGGGCCUUUCUAGGUCAACUGACGGUACCAGAUGAAUAAGCACCGGCUAACUCCGUGCCAGCCGCCGCGGUAAGAC